AUUGAACGCUGGCGGCAGGCCUAACACAUGCAAGUCGAACGGUAACAGAAGGAAGCUUGCUUCCUUGCUGACGAGUGGCGGACGGGUGAGUAAUGUCUGGGGAUCUGCCUGAUGGAGGGGGAUAACCACUGGAAACGGUGGCUAAUACCGCAUAACGUCGCAAGACCAAAGUGGGGGACCUUCGGGCCUCAUGCCAUCAGAUGAACCCAGACGGGAUUAGCCAGUUGGUGAGGUAACGGCUCACCAAAGCGACGAUCCCUAGCUGGUCUGAGAGGAUGACCAGCCACACUGGAACUGAGACACGGUCCAGACUCCUGCGGGAGGCGGCAGUGGGGAAUAUUGCACAAUGGGCGCAAGCCUGAUGCAGCCAUGCCGCGUGUAUGAAGAAGGCCUUAGGGUUGUAAAGUACUUUCAGCGGGGAGGAAGGUGUUGAGGUUAAUAACCUCAGCAAUUGACGUUACCCGCAGAAGAAGCACCGGCUAACUCCGUGCCAGCAGCCGCCGUAA
rnacentral:rRNA from 1 species